rnacentral:rRNA from 1 species
GACGAACGCUGGCGGCGUGCUUAACACAUGCAAGUCGAACGGAAAGGCCUCUUUCGGGGGGUACUCGAGUGGCGAACGGGUGAGUAACACGUGAGUAACCUGCCCUUGACUUUGGGAUAACUUCAGGAAACUGGGGCUAAUACCGGAUAGGAGCUCCUGCUGCAUGGUGGGGGUUGGAAAGUUUCGGCGGUUGGGGAUGGACUCGCGGCUUAUCAGCUUGUUGGUGGGGUAGUGGCUUACCAAGGCUUUGACGGGUAGCCGGCCUGAGAGGGUGACCGGCCACAUUGGGACUGAGAUAAGGCCCAGACGCCUACGGGAGGAAGAAGUGGGGAAUAUUGCACAAUGGGUGGAAGCCUGAUGCAGCAACGCCGUGUGCGGGAUGACGGCCUUCGGGUUGUAAACCGCUUUCGCUCAUGACGAAGCUUUGUGUGACGGUAGUGGGUAAAGAAGCACCGGCUAACUACGUG